rnacentral:tRNA from 1 species
GGGCCCGUAGCUCAGUUGGGAGAGCGCCGCCCUUGCAAGGCGGAGGCCGUGGGUUCAAAUCCCGCCGGGUCCAC